AGGCUGGUCUUUCGUAUGAAGCUCUGAAGGCAUGAAGGACAAUGAAAUGGCUUCUCGCCUGUGUGGGUACGCAGGUGCUCUUUCAGGUGGGCCUUUAGUGAGAAGCUCCGAAGGCAUGAAGGGCACUGAAAUGGCUUCUCACCUGUGUGGGUGCGCAGGUGUUGAUUCAGGUGUCCCUUUCGCGUGAAACUCCGAAAGCAUGAAGUGCACUGAUAUGGCUUCUCGCCUGUGUGGGUGCGCAGGUGUUCGUUCAGGUAGCUCUUUCGCGUGAAACUCCGAAAGCAUGAAGUGCACUGAUAUGGCUUCUCGCCUGUGUGGGUGCGCAGGUGUUCGUUCAGGUGGUUCUUUCGCGAGUAACUCUGAAAGCAUGAAGGGCACUGAUAUGGCUUCUCGUCUGUGUGGG
rnacentral:lncRNA from 1 species